rnacentral:rRNA from 1 species
GGCUCAGGACGAACGCUGGCGGCGUGCCUAAUACAUGCAAGUCGAACGGUCUUUUCUAUGGAAGCUUGCUUCCACUGAGAAGAUAGUGGCGAACGGGUGAGUAACACGUGGGUAACCUGCCCAUAAGAGGGGGAUAACAUCCGGAAACGGGUGCUAAUACCGCAUAGUUUUCUUGAUCGCAUGAUCGGGAAAGGAAAGACGGCCUUUGUGCUGUCGCUUAUGGAUGGACCCGCGGCGUAUUAGUUAGUUGGUGAGGUAACGGCUCACCAAGACGAUGAUACGUAGCCGACCUGAGGGGUGAUCGGCCACAUUGGGACUGAGACACGGCCCAAACUCCUACGGGAGGCAGCAGUAGGGAAUCUUCCGCAAUGGACGAAAGUCUGACGGAGCAACGCCGCGUGAGUGAAGAAAGGUUUUCGGAUCGUAAAACUCUGUUGUCAGAGAAGAACAAGUUGGAGAGUAACUGCUCCAGCCUUGACGGUAUCUGACCAGAAAGCCACGGCUAACUACGUGCCAGCAGCCGC